rnacentral:misc_RNA from 1 species
AAGUCGUAACAAGGUCUCCGUUGGUGAACCAGCGGAGGGAUCAUUACAGGACUCGCAAGACUCCUACAACCCUGUGAACCUACUAUACGAACGUUGCUUCGGCGGGUGCGCCCCGGGGAUUCGUUCCCGAGGCGCGUCAGCCCGCCGGCAGCCUACAAAUUCUGUUUCUUUGCGUUGGCAUCUCGAGAAAAAACAAAUAAGUUAAAACUUUCAACAACGGAUCUCUUGGUUCUG